CCUCACUUUGGCAAGCGUUCUUGUGCCCCGUUUGCGAAAGUUUAUUUAAAUGUUGUUCACGUAGAAAUAAUUAGUAUACAGUGUAAAUUCUGUUUCAAAUAGUGAAUAUUAUUUGACUCGAGUCAGACGAAGUGAUAUUUCCAUUCGGGCACAUCGGCUAUAGAGAUCGACUGUUAAACCCAGUGGCCACGUUACUGCGAUUGUAAUUAUAGAGUAUGACGUAGUUCAUAGUUUUUGCAUCAGUGUGAAAAGUGAAAAACCUGUGACCAGGUGAUGAACAUUCCUAGAGCCAAUAUACAUUUUGUUAAGG